UCCUUAGAUGUUCUGGGUCGCACGCGUGCUACACUGAGUGGAUCAGCGGGUCAGGUUGCGCGAAAGUGUUUCCUAAUCUUUAAAUCCGCUCGUGAUGGGGAUUGACGGUUGCAAUUUUCCGUCAUGAACGAGGAAUACCUUGUAAGCGCGGGUCAUCAUCCCGCGCUGAAUACGUCCCUGCCCUUUGUACACACCGCCCGUCGCUCCUACCGAUUGAGUGGUCCGGUGAGGCUUUGGGAUCUGAGCGGAAAGAGCGUUUCGCUGUUUCUGCCCGGAAAACUCAGUCGAACCUUAUCAUUUAGAGGAAGGAGAAGUCGUAACA
rnacentral:rRNA from 1 species